rnacentral:rRNA from 1 species
AAUCAACGCUGGCGGCGUGCCUAACACAUGCAAGUCGAACGGGAAAGUGGAGCAAUCCAUGAGUAUAGUGGCGACCGGGUGAGUAACACGUGACUACCUGCCCUUGAGUGGGGGAUAACCUCGGGAAACCGAGGCUAAUACCGCAUAAAAUCGAAAGAUCAAAGGAGCAAUCCNCUUUUGGAGGGGGUCGCGGCUGAUUAGCUAGUUGGUGAGGUAAUGGCUCACCAAGGCGAAGAUCGGUAUCCGGCCUGAGAGGGCGCACGGACACACUGGAACUGAAACACGGUCCAGACUCCUACGGGAGGCAGCAGUGGGGAAUUUUACGCAAUGGGGGAAACCCUGACGCAGCAACGCCGCGUGGAGGAUGAAGCCCCUUGGGAUGUAAACUCCUUUCGACCGGGAAAAUU